CAGGUCCCAUGUAAACCCUUGGAAACAGUGCAAUUUGUAUCAGCUAAUAACUUCAUUCUGGGUGUUCAAGCUGGACUUUAAAACAGCCGAAUUGAUCAGAAAGGGGGAGUAUUGGACGGUCACAUGGUUCAGUUACCACAGUGGAUGGAUGCCUCCAUCAGUCAACAUUGACAAGAUUGGCAGAAAGUAUAAUGAGAUUUCUAUACUGAUUCCAAAUGGAAGGGUAAAUGUUAAUGUUGCACCAAGCAACUGAACAUGCACACAACAACAGCAAGUUGAAUU